GAGGGUGGAUUUGCAUAAUUAUCCUGUUAUCUUUAUAUUACUUGAAAAUGAUCUCAAAACAACAAUAUUAUUGUUUAUCUCAAUAAUUACUGAGACAAUUAAGCAAAGUUUGUUUUGU